AAACCAUGCAUCAGACAUUUUCGCAACAAAUAUUUAAACCUAUCUCAUGCUUCAUACUAGUUCUCAUCAUCCAUUUGCUUGAAAGAUAUGAUGUCAUUUCUCAAUCU